rnacentral:tRNA from 1 species
GAGGGUAUAGCUCAAGUGGAAGUGUGUGUGCUUAGCAUGCAUGAGGUCCUGGGUUCAAUCCCCAGUACUUCCA